UGCACUGCGAGUGAUCCGAUCCGACAGUCACAGGGGCAAGUUUGUACCUUUGAAGAAAGGGAAGGGAGCGUGAGGGGACGCUAUAAGCCCAAACAGGUUGCUCGGAUUUCGUGGUCUUUUACCAUUCUUUACCAAUCCGGGUGGAGGAUUUGGGAUUUGGAGGACAAGAAAACACCAGAGAGAGAUCUAUCAAUCCAACUACCCAUCAGGAAGAUUUCAUCAAAAGCCAUCCAUCAGAAAGAGAGAAAGAGGUGGGGGGUGAGGGAGGGAAGGGGGGAGAGAGAGAGAGAGG
rnacentral:lncRNA from 1 species